rnacentral:snRNA from 1 species
GUGUUCACUUCGGCAGCACAUAUACUAAAAUUGGAACGAUACAGAGAUUAGCACGGCCCCUGUGCAAGGAUGACAUGCAAAUUCGUGAAGCAUUCCAUAUUUUU